AAUGGAUUUGCAUCCCAGAAUGGCACCUGAAACUCUCCAUAGAAGUGGACUGUCUUGUGGUUGGCACUGUAUAAGCAGAGUCCAGAAAACUAGAUACACUGAGAUUUCAAUAUUUACUGUAACAUUUGAACUGCAAGAGUUCCCUCGGCCAAAAACUGCCUGUGAGGAGCCCCUGAGUGUCCCCAGCCCAACUCCUGUCACCGUGCUGUUCCCUGGGGAUAACAAAACCCUUCGCAGGCGUGAAGAAUGAACCACAGGUAGGUCAAAUUCAUAUCCAGAAGUUCACUGCAGUUCCAUUAUGAUAUCGUUAAGUUCCGUGUUCCUACUGAAAAGAUGACAUUUUCUAUUGAACAGUGACAUUUGAAAAUAUAGAACUAACAUAUUACAUUUCUGCUGAAAUAUUUGAUUCAGCAAACAAACGACAGACACAGCUAUUGCUGGUUUCAUUGGCUUUUGCAGAAACAUUAUACAAAUUGUUAUUUGCUCCCACGUUUUAACCCCUUCUUUUCUUUUAGACAGGCAAGUGGUUAAAAAAAAAGUAUGAGCCGUUUAAGACAACAGCACAAAAACUUUUCUGAAGUUUAGUUUUUUAUGUUUACCAUGGAAACAUUCUUUGAGACAUUCAUCAAGAGACGGACAGGGAUUAUUUAGUGGAACACAGUCUCUGCCAGGAAGUUUUGUAUGAAUAUAUCAAGAUAUAUCAGAAAACUUUCUUAAGGAUGAAUAGCAGACUCUGACACUUGACAUGCAAAUGCAAACAUGGCCCUCCUUUCAGAUUACUUGUUUUAAAACAUUAUAUGAAAAUUCACCAUAUUCAUUAUAUGAACAAAAGCACUUAGACAUUUUAAAGUCUAUAGCAAUCUCUGCAUCUCUAUACAGCUUGGUUAACUCUGGUGUUAAAGAUGAACUGGGACUCCAGUUAAGAGUCACAGCGCUGUAAAUUUGUUGUGGUGCAUUAGAGAAUCUGGCCCAGUGUGUGUCACAGUUGUUUAAUUCAUCUAAGGUUGGCAGGGUUUCUUUUUUACUUGAAUGUAUUCACACCCAUGCAAGCUGUCAAGUUGGAAUUACACUUAAGGGCUUAGACUGAGCUGCAGCUGCAGCAGUGAUGGGGGCAGGGAGCAGGGGCAGGGGGGGCUACCACCACUCCCGGGACUAAAAAGGAAGCCCCCUUAGCUGUUGGCCUGGUCCUGUCUUCCCUGAGUGAUGACUGAAGGUCUGCUUGACCUGGCUUUUUUCUGGACUUUACAUUUCAGGUAAUCUUAAAGGACUCAGAGAUAUCAUUUUCAUUUAGCGAUGGGUAAAGACCAGGUAUUGAAGAGAAUAUUCUUGCAGCUUUAAACGACCAAGGUAUCAUCUAUCAUCGCAGCCCUAUUCUGUCUGCUGCUAGAGCAAACUCUUCAUUAGAGAUGGGAAAAUUAUUUGCAGUAAAGCAUUUAUUCAGAGAAUUUAGCCUUUUGUUUUUUGCCUUUUCCCUAUUGAAAUUUAUCUGCAAACAGCCUGAUUUUUAUGUGCUGGCCUAUUAUUCAGAGUUACUCAGUGAGUUCUUUAUGCAGCUGUAUUAGAGUUUAUGCACUACUCCUGAGUUUCUCUCUGGCCAUUUUUCUCAAGUAUGAAGCAGUCAUAAUUUGCUAUUUCUACAGGGGAACAUUCAAAUAAGUUUCUUAAUGUUGUUUUCAUUUGCUUCUGAGCAUCCUGGAGUGCUGUGUAACUUAGGGCAGGAUCUGUUGCCUAGAGGCAUCCAUGCAGUCCAGGAUCUUUGUAGAAGUGUCCCUGGUGACACGAUGGCUUUCUGUCUCUGACACAUCUCUUUCCCUUCACUCCUGAUACUGUCUUUGUGUUAGAUUUUUUGACGUCUUUCUAUAAUUAAAGGGGAUUUCCUGGUAUCCUGCAGUGCCCUGGUAUUGCAAGUGUCCAUGUGUCAUCCACUUCCCUUCAUUAAUUUGCCAACUCCAUCUCAAAGUUAAUUGGCCUAAUUUUUUUCACCCAAUAAAUAGCCUUGGGAAAAUUGUUCUAGAAUCUCA
rnacentral:lncRNA from 1 species